CAAAACCUGGAAUUAUUUUGGCGUCACGUGCCCCGUCUAAACGCUGUUGGCCAUGUGUGCGCGCCAGCCGGGAGAAUCCAACGUGGAAUCCUUGGAAAAGUGGCUGGGAAACGAGCUGGGAGCUCCAUGAGCGGCGGCCGAGGGUUUGUGUGAUUUUGCUAAAAAUGCAUCACCAACAGCGAAUGGCUGCCUUAGGGACGGACAAAGAACUCAGUGAUUUACUGGAUUUCAGCGCGAUGUUUUCACCUCCUGUGAGCAGCGGGAAGAACGGACCAACUUCCCUGGCGAGUGGACACUUCACUGGCUCCAGUAUG